CAUGGCUUAGGAAGAGCUGUAAACGGGAGCUUGCCGGCUGGCCACCAGCUCAGGGGCCCUGGGGGCGGCCUCCGGGUUCUGCUCCCUGUUCUUCCCUUUGACCAAUGUCACUCCUGGACAGAUAACGGGACCAAACGCCCUUCACUUCCUCGAGUCCUCAUGUAUGUCAUGGUUCCUCUUUUAGGAAAACAUGAGUACAAGACGCAAAGCAAAAGAAGAGACUAAAGAAAGCCUUUACGAAAUCCUCACACCAUCUCCGGACGCAAAGCUUUCGCAUUCAGCUUGAGGAGCUAAACCAUUUCAAGCCAAGGUAGGAAACGCCAAAGUGGUGCCGAAGUGGUCCCAAAGCAG
rnacentral:lncRNA from 1 species